rfam:Triticum urartu cultivar G1812 contig982627, whole genome shotgun sequence.
AAGAUACUCCCUCCGUUCCAAAUUACUCGUCGCAGAAGUGGAUGUCUCUAGAACUAAAACGCAUCUAGAUACAUCCAUUUCUGCGAUGAGUAAUUCGGAACGGACGGAGUAUAAG